UACGGAGGGUGCAAGCGUUAUCCGGAUUCACUGGGUUUAAAGGGUGCGUAGGCGGGCAGGUAAGUCCGUGGUGAAAUCUCCAAGCUUAACUUGGAAACUGCCGUGGAUACUAUUUGUCUUGAAUAUAGUGGAGGUGAGCGGAAUAUGUCAUGUAGCGGUGAAAUGCGUAGAUAUUGGGAAGAACACCGGUGGCGAAGGCGGCUCACUGGCUCAUUUCUGACGCUCAGGCGCGACAGCGUGGGGAUCAAACAGG
rnacentral:rRNA from 1 species